rnacentral:rRNA from 1 species
UACGUAGGGGGCGAGCGUUAUCCGGAUUCACUGGGUGUAAAGGGAGCGUAGACGGCCAUGCAAGCCAGGGGUGAAAGCCCGGGGCCCAACCCCGGGACUGCCCUUGGAACUGCAUGGCUGGAGUGCGGGAGGGGCAGGCGGAAUUCCUGGUGUAGCGGUGAAAUGCGUAGAUAUCAGGAGGAACACCGGCGGCGAAGGCGGCCUGCUGGACCGCGACUGACGUUGAGGCUCGAAAGCGGGGGGAGCGAACAGG